GAGCUCGUAAGACGGGUUUUGAGGGGAUCAAUUUCGGGUUCGGAUUAAAGUCUGUUUGGGAUACCCGUUUAAGUGAGGAAAAGUUUUAAUUAUAAAUUUCCUUUUCUUAUUUCUUUUUCCCGAACCCGACUUAAUCCUUUAGCCGAUACUUCUUCCUCUCUUCUUCCCCGACUCCCUUCCUCUUCUCUCUGUAUCUCGCGGACGCUGCGACGUCGAGGCUGGAUCGGGCAGCGACGCCACCAGGGAAAUUGAUCGCCGGCGGCUGAGCACUUCCUUCCACCACCGUCCACCAGAUCGGGGAGGGGAUUUGUUGGUUUGACGCCGCUGGAUCGAGCCAUGCCAUCGCCGAUCGUCGGCGUGAAGGGGGGCAAUUAGGGUUCCACGGGUCCGUCGCCAGUGCUCUGCAUUCGGAUCACUGCUUCAUGUGAGUAGAUCUAGCCCUAGCCUAGACCUUUCCUCUUCAUCGCCGGCUUGGAUCUAUUAUCUUGGGUUCUAGCUUCGAUUUCACACACGGUUGUGUUGUGGGGUUGGUGGACAGCAGCUCGAACCGGGCAGAGGUGAGGUUCUGUUCUUCUUUUGCUGUGGUGUUUUUGGUUUCGGCAGGCACCUCAUCCAGUAGGUGUGCUGGUUCUAGCAUCAACAGCAUUUGAGAUCAAGGUAAGUUGUGAGGUAAUUGAUCUUGGUUGUAGAUCAUAUUGAAUUAGGGAUAAUUGGAUUACCAGAUCAUGGUUAGAUUGAUUAAUCUAGAUGGUGAUACUUGUUGUGUAGAUUUAGAUAUGAUUUGGAUUGCAUGAUUACUAGAUGGUUAGUGAUUAGGUUUAGAUUUAUUUGUUUAUAUUGAUCUAAUGGAA